UGGGUUGUGGCUCAGUGGUAGAGCGCUCGCAUAGCAAAUGUGAAGCACUGGGUUUGAUUCCCAGCAUCACAU
rnacentral:tRNA from 1 species